rnacentral:rRNA from 1 species
GAUGAACGCUGACAGAAUGCUUAACACAUGCAAGUCUUUGGCGAAGCUGUGCUUGCACAGCCUAGCCAAGGCGGACGGGUGAGUAACGCGUAAGGAACUUGCCCUGCAGUCAGGGAUAACAGACGGAAACGACUGAUAAGACCUGGUAAAGUCAGGCGGACUCAUGUCCAGCCUGAUGAAAAGAGAUGCUGCAGGAGAGCCUUGCGUCCUAUUAGCUUGUUGGUGGGGUAACGGCCCACCAAGGCGAUGAUAGGUAGCCGGCCUGAGUGGGUGGACGGCCACAAGGGGACUGAGAUUCGGCCCUUACUCCUACGGGAGGCAGCAGUGGGGAAUAUUGGACAAUGGGGGCAACCCUGAUCCAGCAAUUCUGUGUGCACGAUGAAGGUUUUCGGAUUGUAAAGUGCUUUCAGCAGGGAAGAAAAAAAUGACGGUACCUGCAGAAGAAGCGACGGCUAAAUACGUG